UUGGAACACUCGACAGCGCCCGCUGUCCCUACAUCCGUGAACCUGUCUGCCCACUGCUCGUGCUUGGCGGUUAAAUCAACACCACCAAAGGAGCUGUGGAAGUGAGGGAGAGCUGUUAUGAUUGGGAGGGAGCAUGUUCCUUUACAGGUGGUUCAAGAGGGGGAGAAACGCUGUUCCCAAGUCGUAGCAGACAGUGCUCUUUCUCUCCACGCACUGAUGUUAAAACGAUCAAGGGGGGGGGUUAGAAUAUUAGACUAGAGGAAGGUAGUACUGUUGCAUGCCUCCCUCCUGGAGACGGGGAGAAUAUACAGGUCAGUGGAGGACGAAAGACAGACAGAUGGAUCUAGUGAGUGGGAGAGUAGUUGGUUAGGGGUCGUGUGGGAGAGUCAGAGAGAAAGAGGGAGAAGGAGGGAGACGGGGAGGAGGAGUUUCCGGCUCAGUUUUGCUGCAGGAUCAGGGUCUCCAGCUCGUCGGCCGAGCGGAGCAAGAAGGCGGCCGACUCGCGGUAGCCGGCGAUGAGCUGCCGCACGGCCGUGAUCUCUGUUGGGCUGAGCUGUGCCGAGGCCCCGCCACCUAUGACACCAGCACUCCGCCCGUGACUGUUUGAGCUUGCCGAUGAAGAGUUUGACCCCAGGGACUUCAUGCUGAGGUCAGUAGGGCCUGGGGGAAAGACAACACACUCAAAUGAAGACACAUACUGAGGACAUUUUACUAUAAUUGUAACUAUUGAAAAUCAUAAAUAUGCAUUCUUAUCCACUGUAGGAAAUAUAUUUUAGAUGAGUUCCACCUGUAUUUAAAAAAAAAUGUUUUCUACGUCCAAAUAUGGGCAAGAAUUGGAUUUCUCGAUACGUUUCAAUAAGUGUCCGUCUGUUCUAAACUCGCCCAGUGAUGCGGCUACAGUACGAGCAACAUGCUUCAGGUAAGCUAAGGUAUGCUGCUACUCUAAGCUGCCAUGCUCUGGCCAAAUAAAGAGGCGAAGCAUGCUCUCUCACCGUUGCUCUGAGCAGUGGCGGUUGUCAGGGAGACUGGGUGUUGCAUGCUAGCUCCCAGACCCCCGUAACCACGGUAACUAUUGUUGAGCCCACCGUUGGUGUAGAGCUGGUCCUGGGAGUAGGCCGAGGCGGCCAGGGAGUAGGCAGAGUGGGCCAGGGAGGCCGGCUCGCGAGAACUGGGCUUGUCAAGUGCUAUCUGCUCCUCCUGAGGUGGAGACGAGAGAGAUUUCAGUCCCACUUCCAUCUAUAUAAUAUACUCAAGGUCAAGAACAGACUUUGCCAUUGGCUAUUAGAACACAUACACAGUACAUCCACCCACCUGAAAAGAUACACACCUGUACACACACACACACCCCGAUGUGCACACAGACACACACACACACACACACACCAUCAGAGCACUCACAUGUGCCUGGUAGACAUCCAGGCGCAUCCUCUUGGCAGCCUUGCGUGUCUCGCUCUCGCAGGCGGCUGCCAGGAUGUUCUCAGCCAUGGCUGAGGUGAGGUGAGGUGGUGUGGGUCGUGUCUAGCAGGGGAGAGACAAUCAGCACAAAUUCAUCCCCACGCCAGAGUACCCACAUUGACCACAGGGGGCAUGUUCAACAUUAAUAAUACAGAAGAUAUUACACUAAUAAUAUGUUCAGUUGCACCUACUCAUUACAAAAAGUUAUUCCAACUCCUCUAUUUCAGAUAGUAUCAUUCCUAACCAAAUACAUGAGCACUGAACAGCACUACAUUUAACAGAAUAUUUCACCAGGUAAGGAACAAAAUGAAAGUAUAAUAUUCUGAUCUAAUAAAUAAUGGUGAUACAACAUUUCUAUGGCUCACACUAUGGAAUGUAUUUUUUGUGAUGUCCGUUGAGUUGAUUCCUGCUUUUACUUCCUGCUUUUCUCCUAUGGGCAAAUGGUGCAUGAAUGAAAAUGUCCCAUUCAGGCCUUUUACCCCCCCAAAAUAAAAGAUGGUCAGUUCCUAUCUGCUUAAGGGGGUGGCUCUCACAAUGUAUUAGCACCUGAGCCUGAUCUGCUUAGUUCAUUGACCUUAUAUGAACCAGAAAGAAAAUGUGAGUGGGAUGCCUCUGUCUCUGCUAUGGGUACACUCGCAAUGGUUGCCAAUGACUCUGUGGUCACGAACGCCUCCAACUCAAUCAUCAAGUUUGCAGGAGACAUAACAGUGGUAGGCCUGAUUACCAAUAAUGACUAGACAGCCUACAGGAAGGAGGUGAAGAUUCCAAUUCAUCCCAAAGGUGUUUGAUUGGGUUGAGGUCAGGGCUCUGUGCAGGACAUUCAAGUUCUUCCACAUUGAUCUUGACAAACCAUUUCUGUCUGGACCUCGCUUUGUGCAAGGGUAUUGUCAUGCUGAAACAGGAACGGGUCUUCCCCAAACUGUUGCCACAAAGUUUGAAGCACAGAAUUGUCUAGAAUGUCAUUGUAUGCUGUAGUGUUAAUAUUUCCCAUCACUGGAACUAAGGGGCCUAGCCUGAACCAUGAAAAACAGCCCCAGUCCAUUAUUCCUCCUCCACCAAACUUUACAGUUGGCACUAUGCAUUGGGGCAGGUAGCGUUCUCCUGGCAUCCGCCAAACCCAGAUUCGUCCGUCGGACUGCCAGGAUGGUGAUGUGUGAUUCAUCACUCCAGAAAACUAGUUUCCACUGCUUCAGAGUCCAAUAGCGGGGAACUUUACACCACUCUAGCAGACGCUUUGGCAUUGCGCAUGGUCAUCUUAAGGUUUAUGUGCGGCUGCUUGGCCAUGGAAACCCAUUUCAUGAAGUUUCCGACGAACAGUUCUUGUGCUGACAUUGCUUUCAGAGGCAGUUUUGAACUCGGUAGUGAGUGUUGCAACCGAGGACAGAGGAUUUCUUUACGCACUACGCGCUUCAGCACUCGGUGGUCCUGUUCUGUGAGCUUUUGUGGCCUACCACUUUUGCGGCUGACCCGUUGUUGCUCCUCUAUGUUUUCACUUCACAAUAACGACACUUACAGUUGACCGGGGCAGCUCUAGCAGGGCAGACAUUUGACGAACUGACUUGUUGGAAAGGUGGCAUCCGAUGACGGUGCCACGUUGAAAGUCACUGAGCUUUUCAGUAAAGCCAUUCUACUGCCAGUGUUUGUCGAUAGAGAUUGCAUGGCUCUGUGCUCGAUUUUGUACACCUGUCAGCAACGAGUGUGGCUGAAAUAGCUGAAUCCACUCAUUUGAAGAGGUGUCCACAUACUUUUGUAUAUAUAGUGUAUCUGUGACCAACAGAUGCAUAUCUGUAUUCCCGUCAUGUGAAAUCCAUAGAUUAGGGCCUAAUGAUUUUUUUUCAAUUGAUUGACUUCCUUAUAUGAAAUGUAACUAAAAUAAAAUAUUUGAAAUUGUU